rnacentral:rRNA from 1 species
AUUGAACGCUGGCGGCAUGCCUUACACAUGCAAGUCGAACGGCAGCACGGGAGCAAUCCUGGUGGCGAGUGGCGAACGGGUGAGUAAAGUAUCGGAACAUGCCCAGUCGUGGGGGAUAACGUAGCGAAAGUUACGCUAAUACCGCAUACGAUCUAUGGAUGAAAGCGGGGGAUCGCAAGACCUCGCGCGAUUGGAGCGGCCGAUAUCGGAUUAGGUAGUUGGUGGGGUAAAGGCCCACCAAGCCGACGCUCUGUAGCUGGUCUGAGAGGACGACCAGCCACACUGGGACUGAGACACGGCCCAGACUCCUACGGGAGGCAGCAGUGGGGAAUUUUGGACAAUGGGCGAAAGCCUGAUCCAGCCAUGCCGCGUGCAGGAUGAAGGCCUUCGGGUUGUAAACUGCUUUUGUACGGAACGAAAAGGACUGCCCUAAUACGGUGGUCCCAUGACGGUACCGUAAGAAUAAGCACCGGCUAACUACGUGCCAGCAGCCGCCGUAA